GCACUUUUGGCUGAUCGGUUUAAGCAAACGACUCAUAAUCGUUCUUAGGUAGGUUCAAUUCCUACAGAGUGUA
rnacentral:tRNA from 1 species